rfam:Frateuria sp. Soil773 contig_10, whole genome shotgun sequence.
GGUCGAGUAGCGUCCAGUGAUACAAGACCCGGCUUGCCGGGGAAAGCUGGGGGCCGUCUAGCGGCGGUGUUGAAGUACUCGGCCGCCCUCUC